UCUGUGGUGGCUCAGUGGCAGAGUCCCUGCUUUGCAUGCUGAAGGUCACAGGUUCAAUCCCCAGUAUCUCCAGAU